rnacentral:rRNA from 1 species
AGUGAACGCUGGCGGUAGGCCUAACACAUGCAAGUCGAACGGCAGCACAGUAAGAGCUUGCUCUUACGGGUGGCGAGUGGCGGACGGGUGAGGAAUACAUCGGAAUCUACUUUUUCGUGGGGGAUAACGUAGGGAAACUUACGCUAAUACCGCAUACGACCUACGGGUGAAAGCAGGGGAUCUUCGGACCUUGCGCGAUUGAAUGAGCCGAUGUCGGAUUAGCUAGUUGGCGGGGCAAAGGCCCACCAAGGCGACGAUCCGUAGCUGGUCUGAGAGGAUGAUCAGCCACACUGGAACUGAGAUACGGUCCAGACUCCUACGGGAGGCAGCAGUGGGGAAUAUUGGACAAUGGGCGCAAGCCUGAUCCAGCUAUACCGCGUGGGUGAAGAAGGCCUUCGGGUUGUAAAGCCCUUUUGUUGGGAAAGAAAAGCAGCAGGUUAAUACCCCGCUGUUCUGACGGUACCCAAAGAAUAAGCACCGGCUAACUUCGUG